rnacentral:rRNA from 1 species
CUCAACCGUGGGACCGCACUGGAAACUAUUUGGCUUGAGUCCAAGAGGGGGAGCUGGAAUUCCAGGUGUAGGGGUGAAAUCUGUAGAUAUCUGGAAGAACACCGGAGGCGAAGGCGAGCUCCUGGCUAUGGACUGACGCUGAGGCGCGAAAGCGUGGGGAGCGAACAGGAUUAGAUACCCUGGUAGUCCACGCCGUAAACGUUGUGCACUGGGUGUUGGCCUUGAAAGGUCAGUACCGUAGCUAACGCGUUAAGUGCACCGCCUGGGGAGUAUGCCCGCAAGGGUGAAACUCAAAGGAAUUGACGGGGGCCCGCACAAGCGGUGGAGCAUGUGGUUUAAUUCGAUGAUACGCGAGAAACCUUACCAGGGCUUGACAUCUACCUGACUGCCAUAGAGAUAUGGCUUCCCUUCGGGGCAG